GAAGUAGGAGGGCGAACCCAGGCUGGAAGCCGUCCCGGCACCGAGCAUCUUGCAACGGUCUCGGCGAAAGGGGAGAAGCUGAGACAGCGUGGGGGCGGCGUUGGGGAUGGAGAGAAGUGGACCGACUCGAGAUAGGGGGUAAAAUCAACAGGGCUCGGAGGUUAACUGCAUGUGCGCUCACGGGAGGGGGCGCUCAGGAUGACUCCAGGCGUCAGAUUUCAGUGACUUGGGUGAACGGCUGGCGGUCAACUGAGCGAGUGACACAGAGUGAGCGGAGGGCGGGAUCGCGGCAUACCUCGCGGCGGAUCCGAAACCGACCCGGACCUUCUCCCGCCUGGGACCGCCCAGGCCUCCCGCGGCCCCUGGGCCGCCGAAGAAGCCGCAACAGGAAGCGCCCCGGCGGGAGGCGCCUCGGGCUCUAACACGUGACUCCACGACCGGUGCGGCGCCUAUUACGCAUGCGCAAGGCGAAGUGGGCGUGGCGCUCCAACAGUUUCCUUGGACAAAGAGCUUUUCCACCUCCUUAUUGCUUUUUGGUGAUUUCCUGAAGAAGAGACCGUCUUUACUAUUUUAAAAUG